rnacentral:rRNA from 1 species
GGGCCCGCACAAGCGGUGGAGUAUGUGGUUUAAUUCGAUGCAACGCGAAGAACCUUACCAGGGUUUGACAUCCUGCGAAUCUCUUAGAAAUAGGAGAGUGCCUUCGGGAACGCAGUGACAGGUGGUGCAUGGCUGUCGUCAGCUCGUGUCGUGAGAUGUUGGGUUAAGUCUCGCAACGAGCGCAACCCACGUCUUUAGUUGCCAGCAUUUAGUUGGGCACUCUAGAGAGACUGCCGGUGAUAAACCGGAGGAAGGUGUGGAUGACGUCAAGUCAUCAUGCCCCUUACAUCCUGGGCUACACACGUACUACAAUGCUACGGACAAAGGGCAGCAAGUUCGCGAGGACAAGCAAAUCCCAUAAACCGUGGCUCAGUUCAGAUCGUAGGCUGCAACUCGCCUACGUGAAGGCGGAAUCGCUAGUAAUCGCAGGUC